rnacentral:rRNA from 1 species
UACAGAGGUCUCGAGCGUUAGGCGGAAUCACUGGGCUUAAAGCGUGUGUAGGUGGAUCGUUAAGUACCUUGUGAAAUCCCACGGCUUAACCGUGGAACUGCUUGGUAUACUGGCGGUCUUGAGCCAGCUAGGGGCUACCGGAACAAAUGGUGGAGCGGUGAAAUGCGUAGAUAUCUGGAGGAACACCGGUGGCGAAGGCGGCAUCCUGGACCGAGAUUGACGCUGAGGCGCGAAAGCCAGGGGAGCAAACGGG